ACACAAACAAAAAAAGAAUGCGUAAAUUUCCAAACUCAAGCUGAAAAAGCAGGAAACUCAAAUCUCAUUCUUGACCACGUCUAUAUUACUUUUGUAUAAUCCCUUCUCUUGUCCCUUUCUUUCUGUCCCCUUUUCAGAAAUAAUGUGUACUAGUAUAGAGACAUUUUCACUUGCACAUGGAAAGAAAAAAGGUUAAGCAUCUCUCAAAAUGACAGAAAAAAAAAAUGACAGGUUCAAUUCUAUUAAUCAACAAAAUAAAUUGGCAAAGUGAGAGUAAGAGGAACUCCUAGGCACCAUUUAAAGAAAACUUCCACUUCUGCACCUGGAUGGCAGCCACAGUUGAAGAACAGGGUGGAAAAUCUUAAUUGUUAGCAGUGCAUCAGAGAAAGCUGGAUCUCAGCUUAGGCAGGUCUCACACAAACUCCGGGCCCUGAAAGGGGUGGGACCCUGAUGCUUGGAUGGGGACAUCUGUACAGACAUGGUUAAGAACCUUGAAUUUUGGGUUACCCUGAAUCCUAUGCACCUGAAAAUGUGACCAAUUUUCUCUUAUUGGAAGAUAAAGCUACACACACACACACACACACUUGAAGUUAUACAAAGAUACCAAGUGAGGCAGGUAUCUUAGACAUUUCUUGACCUUCUCAGGACUUGCUCUACUUCCUUUCUUGGUUCAUAAUUAGAGUAAAAUCUCAGCACAACCUGAUCAAAGA